rnacentral:rRNA from 1 species
AUUGAACGCUGGCGGCAUGCCUUACACAUGCAAGUCGAACGGCAGCAUGGAGAGCUUGCUCUCUGAUGGCGAGUGGCGAACGGGUGAGUAAUGCAUCGGAACGUACCGUGUAAUGGGGGAUAACGUAGCGAAGGUUACGCUAAUACCGCAUACGACCUGAGGGUGAAAGCAGGGGAUCGCAAGACCUUGCGUUAUACGAGCGGCCGAUGUCAGAUUAGCUAGUUGGUGAGGUAAAGGCUCACCAAGGAGACGAUCUGUAGUGGGUCUGAGAGGAUGAGCCGCCACGCUGGGACUGAGACACGGCCCAGACUCCUACGGGAGGCAGCAGUGGGGAAUUUUGGACAAUGGGGGCAACCCUGAUCCAGCCAUGCCGCGUGAGUGAAGAAGGCCUUCGGGUUGUAAAGCUCUUUCGGCCGGGAAGAAAUCGCACAGGCUAAUACUCUGUGUGGAUGACGGUACCGGCAUAAGAAGCACCGGCUAACUACGUGCCAGCCGCCGCCGUAA